GCUCGAGUGGCGAACGGGUGAGUAACACGUGAGUAACCUGCCCUUGACUUUGGGAUAACUUCAGGAAACUGGGGCUAAUACCGGAUAGGAGCUCCUGCUGCAUGGUGGGGGUUGGAAAGUUUCGGCGGUUGGGGAUGGACUCGCGGCUUAUCAGCUUGUUGGUGGGGUAGUGGCUUACCAAGGCUUUGACAGGUAGCCGGCCUGAGAGGGUGACCGGCCACAUUGGGACUGAGAUACGGCCCAG
rnacentral:rRNA from 1 species